rnacentral:rRNA from 1 species
AUUGAACGCUGGCGGAAUGCUUUACACAUGCAAGUCGAACGGGCUUGAGGGGCUUGCUCCUCAAGUUAGUGGCGAACGGGUGAGUAAUGCAUCGGAACGUACCUAGUCGUGGGGGAUAACGUAGCGAAAGUUACGCUAAUACCGCAUACGUCCUACGGGAGAAAGCAGGGGAUCGCAAGACCUUGCGCGAUUAGAGCGGCCGAUGUCUGAUUAGCUAGUUGGUGGGGUAAAGGCUCACCAAGGCGACGAUCAGUAGCGGGUCUGAGAGGAUGAUCCGCCACACUGGGACUGAGACACGGCCCAGACUCCUACGGGAGGCAGCAGUGGGGAAUUUUGGACAAUGGGCGCAAGCCUGAUCCAGCCAUUCCGCGUGAGUGAGGAAGGCCUUCGGGUUGUAAAGCUCUUUCGGCAGGAACGAGACGGCGGGCUCUAACAUAGCCUGUUAAUGACGGUACCUGAAGAAGAAGCACCGGCUAACUACGUGCCAGCCGCCGCGGUAACAC